AUGGAGGGCGACGCCGCAGGCGACUCCGCGGGCGACGCCGCGGUCGUCCCCUCGGGCGAAGCGGCGGGCGGCGGCCGGGAUCCUCUGGCGCUGCCAAUCCUGCCAGAGCCUCCACCGCGGCCCAUCUCCUCUCCACCGCCCCUCUGCCAUUCGGAUCCUCGGCGACUUGCACCGGAUCUGAUCCAAAAUGCGAGGACGCCGGUUUCGGAGACGGCCCACGAUCUCUCCCCUCUCUCGUCGUCCUGCCCGGAUCCCUCGACGGCAGAUCGGGAUCGGAUGUUUUUGAAUCAUACUAAAUGGUAUGUGCGUUUCCAGGAUGAUAGAGAGGCGGGGACAUGGAUCAAUGGCCUAAUCUACUCGCACCCGUCCCGUUGGAUGACGAUCCGCGAUGAAGAAGGAGAUAUUUUAGCCGGACGACAUCUCAACAUUGACGAAGAUCUUGCUGUUGGUAAGAGGUUUAUUAUUGAUUCUUUCCAUAUCGAUGUUCUUGAGUGUGUGCAGGAACCCAGGGUAUGCGAUGAACAAAUUGAGUCUGUGGAUCUCACAAGUGACGCCGAGGAGCCCAAGCCUGCGCGGCGGGUUGGGGGACGCUUUUGGAUACUAGGCGACGAUGAAGAAGAUGAUGUUGAGGAUCUGCCGGAGGCGCCGGUGCAGUCACCAUCUCCACCUGUUGUGGCCACAUCUAAUUCGGAGUCUAAACCUAAGGUGUGUUAUAAGAACUCGAGUUCGUUGGAUACGUCGGCUACUUCGCAGAAGUCGAAGGUGAAACCAUGGAAGGGACCGUUGCCAAAGGAUGGGCCGUCGGCCAUCACUUUGUCAGAUUAUUUUCAUCCCGACUGUUGGACGAGAGUGACUCGGCACAAGAAAAAGGGUGGUUCCAGGGUGUCACAAAGUUCGCCGGCGGUGGCCGUGCCGUGUGACAUCCGAGCCGCCAGAGUGGUGCGUUUGAACGAGUUGUUGGGCUCGGUUGGACUGCCUGGCAGUUCCUGCCAUCUUGGCUUGGUCAGUCCUGGGCUUGAGGCCCAGGGGGCUGGCCAGGCACACGACGCAUGGGAGGCUUGCGUGCAUGAGGGGGCCUUGGAUCGAUCGCCCCCACAUGCACGUACCCCCUCUCUCCUUCUGCUUAUCCCUGCUAGGGUACGGCGAUGUGGACGUGUGGGUUUUCCAUCUGCCUCCUUGUGUCGUUCCUCGCGAGGGAUAGCCGGAGUCAACCGGCGCCUGCUCCUUGUUUCCCAACGCCUGGCCAUGCCGCCCAAGCCGCCGCCGCCGCGGAUGCCUCCUGUGGCGAGAAGCCAGUCCGGGGCCGCGGGCGGUUCGGCCUCUUCGGCGGCGGGCGCUGCAGCGCCGGGUUCUGCGCGGGCGGCACCUCCGCCCCGGGCGGUUCCGGCGCCGCUUCGUGCUGCUCCUCCACCGCCUCGGGCGGCGCCUCCACCACCCGCUCGGGCCCUGCCCCUGCCGCCACAGCAGCCUAGGGCUGACCCACCACCUCCGACUAGGGCUGAGCCGAGGCCGUGGCCGAGGCAAAUGGCGGUCAGCCGCGGUGGCCCUGGACAAGGCUCGCUCGGCUGUGGGGUUGGGGCGUCGCCGGGAGAUGACCGGAAUCCCCCGCGUGGCCGGUGGGGUGAUGACGGUUAUGAUGCCUACGAUGCUGGUUUGCAUCCGGGAUCUUCGUCCUCUGGCGGUGGCCGUGGUUAUGCUUGGACGGACGACGGCAAUGCCAACCGGGGCUUUCAGGGUCCCCACGGUAACUUCGUGGAGGGGGCGGUUGCUCCUAAUAACCGUCCCUUCCGGGGCCGAUUCCGCGGAGGUCGGGGUGGGCACAGACGUAACUACCCGCCUAGGCUUCCGAAGGCUCCGACUGAGACUGAGGUGAUGGCCGACGAAGGGUCGGUUCUACCGCAGGUGGCGGUGGAAACGGUUCAGGCACUGGCCGAAGUCACAUUGUCGGAAACCAUGCAGACUGGUGAUUCUGCUUCUGAGCAUGGUACUGAAAGAUCUGAGGCUGACAAGUUGUCCAAGUGGGCAGCUAAGAAGAAGAACCUUACUUGUUUUCGAUGUGGUGACACGGGACACUUUAUGGCUGAGUGCACUGCGGAAUUAUGUGACCUGUGCCGGAAACCGAAGCAUGCUGCUGCUGACUGA
rnacentral:rRNA from 1 species